rnacentral:lncRNA from 1 species
AAGAAUGCAUAUUAAACUUAUUCAAAAGCUAAACAAUCCAACAAAAGAGAUUAAAUUAAAUCCAAACAACCACAAUCAUGAAAGCUAACUGUCAAGAGGACAAUAAACUACAACUAUCAUUAUUAAUCCAUAUUAAUAUUUUUAGGAUAAGAACAGAAGAAGAAAAUAAACCUGUUAAAGCAAAAUCCCUUUGAUAAGAACAAAUCUAGUAGUCAGUUACGAAAUUUUGACCCCAAAAUUCGACCGAUAAAACAACAACAAUAAUCGACCAGGAAUUACGAACCCACGAACAGCAGCGAAUGCAACAACCUUUCAAACGAGCUCCAUUUUUUACCAGAAAUCCAAGACGAGAAGAAGAGAAUGAAUAUCUAUAUAUUUUUUGAGCUUUUAAACAAUAAUCAAAACCAUAUCAAAGAAAGAACACUCAACAUUUUAUGUGUAUCUAUCUGAAUCUGAAAACAGAGAGAAGAAAAUCAAAAUAAACUUUUCAAGACCUAGCCUUUUUCCUUCCAGAUUUUUCCGAAACCCCCACCCCCCACCCCCCUUCUGAAAAUAGCAUCUCCUUUAUAUAAGGCCUCAGGGUUCUCGAACCUUCUCCCUUUCUCCCCAAGAUAUCCCUCCAAAAAUAUCUCCCCCCGAAUCUGAAAUUUUACCCUCCUUAUAUGAAAAACGGACAAAUGGAGGGAGUGGAUCAAAUCGAAUCCAAUCCAACGCUCCCCAUUUUUCCAUGUGUUCAUCUGAAAGGUUAAAAAUCCGAAAUAAAUCAAGGAAAUGGCAUGUGGGGGCGAGGAAUUUUGUCAGAGGCAGUUAGAAUCUUGAUGGCGUGGUACAGAUGGGCCCGUGUGAGUGAACUCGCCUGAGUUUUCAGACGACUCAGGCGAGUUAGGGUUGAAUCAGUUUGGAGAAGAAGAACAAUAGACGGGCGCCGCAUAUGAGGAGUCUUGGGAUUUAGGGUUUUGAGGGAAAAAAUUAUAAAGAGGGUUUUUAUAUUAAAAGGGGAAUGAGCGGGUCAUAGGUGGGUCGGGCGUGGGUUUGGGUUGGACUAGGCGGGUAAGAGAGAAAAAAAAAGGUUGAGCUUUGCACUUGGGUCCAUUAUAUAGCAGCCCUAUUUUCUUAAUUCCUUUUCAUUUCUUUCUUCUUCUUUUUUUCAAUUUUUCUCUUUCCCUUAUUUUAAUUAAUGAAAACCUAAACCAAAAACCCCAACAAUAAUUACCUUGGAAAAAUUAAGCUGAUUAUGUACUAUAAGUUUUGUGAAAAAUAAUUACUCCUAAAUUAAAAGGGAAACUACAAAUUUAAAAUUAAAAAGCUAAAAAUGCAAAAGUAAGCCAAUUUUCGUGAUUUUCAUUUUUUAAUAAAGCGGCUAAUUUACUAAUUAACCUAAAAAUGCAAAAUAAGUUCUAAAUGCAAAUGUAAUACAUUAUUGUAUUUUUCAUGAAUUAAAUAAAAUGAACGUGCACAGACAAAUGCAAACAGUUAACAAAAAAUGCUACAAAAAUCUACGAAAUUGCAAGUAAUGGGAAAAAAUUAUUUUCUUGAAUUUAUGGGAGUAAUUCAUAUAGGGCAAAAAUCACGUGCUCACAGCUUCCCCUCUUUGCCUGGAAAUACGAAGAGUUUUCGUGCAAAGAUAAAGUGAGCGGAUACGAGCGAUUUUGCCCGUUUGAAUACUCCGUGGAAAGCUUUUUUGAAAGAUUUGACCGCACCCUGCUUCCUAGGUUGCCUAUAUAUCCUUGGCUAUAAAAGAAUAAGGUUAGUGUAGUUCGGGAAGUUUUGGUAGCUGGGACUACCAUGAAGCUGUGAUUUCACUGCUGUUACUGCUGCUACUGCUUACUGAACUCCUUAUUACACCAAGACAAAAUAAAAGAAGCUAGACUAAACUAUGAUCUAUGCAUUACAAGAAUCCUAUCUAUAUCUUCAAACUUGAUUUUGUAGUUCCUAUUGCUCUAUUGACUUGUAUUCUCCAGGUAAAGUCCCUUUGUUGUCGACUCGAAUUGUAAUCUAAGAUGCUUUCCCUUUUCUCCAGGGGGAUGCCUGAUUGAUGAACUUGAACCGUCUUCCUUCAAAUAUUGCUGCUUUCCCUUCGUUCUCCAGGUGGGGUCCUGAUUACCAAUACUUUGAGUUACUUGGUUCUCCAGGUGGUAUCUUGAUUACCGACACUUAAAUUGUUUCCCUUCCUUAAAACUGGUGUUGUUCUCCCUUGCUCUCCGGGUGGGUGCCUGAUUGCCAAAACUUUAACUGUAUUCCCUUGCUUUCCAGGUGGGCGCCUGACUGCCGGAACUUGAACUGUAUUCCCUUACUCUCCAGGUGGGCGCCUGAUUGCCGAAACUUGAAUCAUAUUCCCUUGCUCUCCAGGUGGGCGCCUAAUUGCCGAAACUUAAUUGUAUUCCCUUGCUCUCCAGGUGGACGCCUGAUUGCCGAAACUUCAACUGUAUUCCCUUACUCUCUAGGUGGGUGCCUGAUUGCCGUAACUUUAAUUGUAUUCUCUUACUCUUUAGGUGGGCGCCUGAUUGCCGAAACUUGAACUAUAUUCCCUUGCUUUCCAGGUGGGUGCCUGACUGCCUAAACUUGAACUAUACUCCCUUGCUCUCCAGGUGGGCGCCUGAUUGCCAAAACUUGAACUGUUCAUCUGAAACUGCUGCAUUUGAACCUGAUUACAACAAAACAAAAGAAAUUUUCCNNNNNNNNNNNNNNNNNNNNNNNNNUUCCCCAGUUUGGUGUUGGGCGCAUCUAUGACAGUUAAUUGAAUCAUGUCACAAAAUAUCUCUAUGAAUUUGAAAGCUAAAUCCCAUUAUCCAAGAGGGUCCUGUGAACUCCUAGUUAAAUGACAGCUUUACAUCUAAAUUAUAUCUUCUAAAGGUAUGACUCCCAUUAAACCUUGUUAUCUAAGAGAGUCUUAAAACUACAUCCCAUUAUCCAGGAGGGUCCUGAAAUUCAAAAAUCGAGUCUUAUCUUAAGAGUGACAACUUUUACGGCUGAAUUAUACUACCCUAUAACAGAACUUACGCUAAAUCUCGUUAUAUAAUAGAAAUCUUAAAGCUAAGUCCCAUUAUCCAUGAGGGUCCUGAACGCUCUUAAUUGAAUCCUAUCUCAAGCAUGAAAACUUUGAAGCCAAUUUAUAUUCCUUUAGGGUACAUUUAUGCUAGAUUUUGCUACUCACGAUUUUUUUGAAUUUUAAACUAGGUCCCAUUUUCCAGGAGGGUCCUAAGAAUUUAUGAUCAAACCUGUCUGGUGCUUGUUUUCCCUUACGGAGGGUUUUUCCAAAACAAGCAAAAUUUCCUGCCCCUGUUUCAAUCAAAGAAAAAUCUUGUCAGUUUAAAAUGUGGUGGUUAGUUUGUGACAUUCUUGCUUAAGGUGGCCUCUCCGCUGCCAUGCUCUGCUUUGACUGUCUUCCCCGGACUGGCCAAAAACCAUUUGACUUUCUAACUGACUUUCACCCACAUGACCUUGGAUAACCCGAGUGUUCUAUACCCAACUAUUGUGUUGCAUCUCUGGCCUAUCUAUCUGCACCUCUGCAUCUCCCACGAAAUUACUAAACCAUUUCACCAAUGGAAUUUCUGCUGACCCUUUAUAUCCCAUUUCACAUCAUACUAUCUCUAACAAUGUUUUGGCUGCCCUGUGCUUUUGUACAAUUUUGGAAGUUGGUAGAAAGUUUUGAAAUCCUUUCUUAUUCGCUAAACAGAACUAAUAUUGGAAACAUCUUAGAGAAAUAAACCCAGAAGAAAUGAAAUGCAAUGACUUCGAGAGUUAGGGACAAGAAAAAUCCAAAACUGGAAGACUGUCUGAAAGGGAAAAAGAAAAGAAACUUAACUGAGUGGAGCAGCCGGCACCAAUGAUCACGACAUGCAUUUCGGAUUAAUCGGCCCAGUCUAUCCAACCGAUCAACUUUCAGUUGUCGUACUUUACGCCCAAAGAUCUUCAAAACCCAAUUUCUUCACCAAAACCUUGUCCUUGUACGGCCUGCGGUGCCUCGAUGGAUUUUCACCAACAAACCUCUCUCAUUUGUUCAUCUCUCAACUCACUUUCGCCUUAAGGUGCCCGAGAAGGUUUUCACCAAUAAGACUAUCUCAUUUUGAUUUCUAUCAGCUUUCGUCGCCUUAUGGUGCCCGCGAGGGUUUUUACCAAUAAGACUCUCUCAUUUUCAUUUUCUUUGUUUGGACCGGAGAGUUGCCCCUGAUAUGAAUCGCCUCCACUUGCUCGACUUGGCAUCUCUCGAAGACUGAUCGGAAGAUCUUUCUUUGGACCGUAAUAUGGGUUUGGAUGGGGUUAGAAAGAAGGGUAUCAAAGGCUCAAAACAAUUCAAAUAGGUUCAAGAUUACAACUUUCAGAAUUAGAUUUCCCACAACAACCACAACUUCUGCCCCAGUUUCUUUGCUUGGGGACCUUUGAAGUUUUACUUUGAUGGGACCGAACUGUGAGGUUGCCUACGUAUCCUUAAAAGGAAUCAGGUCGAACGUAGUUCAUGUCAUAGGAAUUGCUCUGUUGUUGUGAUUUUUCUUUUCUCUUUCUCUUUUCUUUUCUUUUCUUUCUUCCUUUUCUCUUUUUGUUGUUUUGUUGUUAUUUCUUUCUCUUUUUUUCUUCUCUUUUUUUUUCCAAUUUUCAUCUUUUCUUUUUUCUCUUUUCCUUUACUUAUCUUUCGUGCUUAUGCUUCUGCUCUUUGCUAUUGAUUCCAAAAGAGGGGUAUGAGAGGAAAUAAAUAAGGCUCAAAGGGGGUAACAAAGGAUAGAGUGUUUAGAUAGCAGAACAAAAUGCCUUCUCAUUCCAAUUUUUAAAACAUGCCAAGUACAAACAAACACAAUUUAACCAAAGAAAUCAUACAUAAUAUCUCUUGACCGCAUCAGAAUUGAUAGCCAUUUCUACACACUUGCCUUCUAUAUCUGUUAAAUACAAAGCACUAUUGGACAACAAUCUAGUUACUAUGAACGACCCCGACCAAUUUGGGGCGAAUUUGCCUUUAGUCUCGGCCUGAUGUGGAAGGAUACGUCUCAACACUUGCUGACCCACUUCAAACUUCCCCGGAAGCACCUUCUUAUUAUAUGCUCUUGCCAUUCUCUGCUGAUACAACUGGCCAUGACACACUGCUGCCAACCUUUUCUCAUCGAUCAAACUCAAGUGUUCCAGGCGGGUUUUGACCCAUUCAUCAUCGUCAAUUUCGGCUUCUGCGACAAUCCGAAGGGAUGGGAUUUCGACCUUUGCGGGUAUCACUGAUUCAGUACCAUACACCAAUAAAUAAGGAGUUGCCCCUACUGAAGUACGAAUAGUAGUGCGAUAACCCAGCAAUGCAAAGGGCAAAUUUUCAUGCCAUUGUCUAGAACCCUCCACUAUUUUUCAAAAUAUCUUCUUUAUAUUCUUGUUGGCUGUCUCGACUGCUCCAUUCGCCUUGGGGAUAUAAGGGGAGGAAUUGUGAUGUGUAAUCUUGAACUGCUGACAUACCUGUGUUAUCAGAUGACUAUUGAGAUUAGCACCAUUAUCUGUUAUGAUCACCUUUGGGAUCCCAAACCGGCAAAUGAUAUUUGAGUGCACAAAAUCGACCACCACUUUCUUGGUCACAGACUUGAAUGUUUUAGUCUCAACCCACUUGGUGAAAUAAUCGAUGGCCACCAGAAUGAACCUGUGCCCAUUUGAUACUGCUGGCUAAACUGGCCCAAUGACAUCCAUGCCCCACACAACAAAAGGCCAUGGUGUAGAUAUUGUGUGCAAUUUAGAUGGUGGAGAAUGAAUCAAAUCUCCGUGCAUUUGGCACUGAUGACACUUGCGCACAAAACUGAUACAAUCUCGCUCCAUAGUGAGCCAAUAAUAACCUGCUCGGAGAAUCUUCUUUGUCAGCACGUACCCACUCAUAUGUGGUCUACAGACUCCAGAAUGUACUUCGGUCAUGAUAGCUUUGGCCUUUCUAGCAUCAAUGCAUCUUACCAAUCCAAGAUCCGGAGUCCUUUUGUACAAAACCCCUCCGCUGAAGAAAAAUCCGCUUGCCAACCACCGAAUUGGUCUCUUUUGAUCACCUGUGGCUUGUACUGGAUACACCCCCAUCCUGAUAUAUUCCUUGAUAUCAUGAAACCAAGGUUCACCAUCAAGUUCUUCUUUCACCACAUUAUAGUAAGCAUGCUGAUCAUGGACCUGAAUAUGCAAAGGGCCCACAUAAGCCUUAUCUGGAUGAUGUAACAUUGAUGCUAAGGUAGCCAAAGCAUCAACAACCUCGUUAUGGAUCCUUGGAAUAUGACUAAACUCUACUGAUCAAAAUCGUUGACAAAGAUCAUGCAAACAUUGCCGGUACGGUAUGAGUUUUAAAUCCCAUGUUUCCCAUUCCCCUUGGAUCAGGUGUACCAGAAGGUCCGAGUCUCCCAAGACCAAGACUUCCCGGACACCCAUGUCUGCGGCUAACCUCAAACCCAAAAUGUACGCCUCAUACUCAGCCAUAUUAUUAGUACAGUAGAAACAAAGUUGAAAUAUAACAGGGUAGUGAUGCCCUGUUUCAGAAAUAAGUACAGCCCUUAUCCCGACGCCUUUCAUGUUAGAAGCUCCAUCAAAUAAAAGUUUCCAACCUGGAUCUCCAACUAGUUCCAACUCAUCAAUAUGCAUUACCUCUUCAUCAGGGAAGUAAGUCUUCAAAGGCUCAUAUUUUUCAUCCACUGGGUUCUUAGCUAAAUGAUCGGCCAAUGCCUGGGCUUUCAUCGCAGUCCUAGUCACAUAGACGACGUCAAAUUCUGUGAGAUAUACUUUAACGGAUCUAAAUGAGAGAUGAGGUAAGUAGUGUAAGAUGACAAAUAGUGCUUCAACUUCUGUACUACCCAAGUUAGGGCGCAACAUGUCCUCUCAAGGUAAGUGUACUUAACCUCGUAAGAUGUGAACUUCUUGCUGAGAUAGUAGAUGGCUUGCUCCUUCCUACCAGUGAUGUCAUGCUGACCCAACACACAGCUAAACAAAUUGUCCAAAACUAUCAAAUACAGAAUCAAAGGUUUCCCUGGUUCUGGUGGCACCAACACAGAUGGGUUUGACAAGUACCCCUUUAUCUUAUCAAAUGCUUCUUGACACUCAUCUGUCCACUUGGCCGCAACAUCCUUCUUUAGCAGUUUGAAGAUAGGCUCACAAGUUAUGGCAAGCUGAGCAAUAAACCUGCUGAUGUAAUUUAACCUCCCUAAUAAACUCAUCACCUCAGUUUUGUUUCUUGGGGUGGCAAUUCUUGGAUAGAUUUGAUCUUUGAUGGGUCCAAUUCAAUACCUCGACGGCUGACUAUGAAUCCCAACAACUUUCCAGAUGGCACACCAAAUACGCAUUUUGCAGGAUUGAGCUUAAGAUUGUACCUGCAAAGCCUUUGGAAGAACUUUCUCAAAUAUCUGACAUGAUUAGACUGCUGUCUAGACUUUAGGAUUACAUCGUCCACAUAAACCUCGAUCUCCUUGUGUAUCAUGUUGUGGAAUAUGGUUGGCAUUGCCCUCAUGUAAGUUGCCCCAGCAUUCUUCAAAACGAAAGGCAUGACCCUAUAGCAGUAUGUUCCCCAUGGAGUGAUGAAUGCCGUCUUUUCUGCAUCUUCCUCAUCUAUUAGGAUCUGAUGAUAGCCCGCAUAACAAUCCACAAAAGACCCAAUCUCAUGUCUGACACAAUUAUCAAUCAAAAUGUGGAUGUUUGGCAAGGGGAAUUUAUCCUUUGGGCUUGCCUUGUUGAGAUCUCGAUAAUCAACACACACCCUAGUCUUACCAUUCUUCUUUGGUACAGGCACAACAUUGGCUAACCAAGUGGGAUAUCGCGUGACUCGAAUGACCUUUGCCUCAAACAGCUUUGUGACCUCCUCUUUAAUCUUUACACUCAUGUCUGUUUUAAACUUCCUCAACUUCUUCUUGACGGGAGGGAAUGUCGGGUCAGUGGGCAAUUUGUGAACCACAAAGUCAGUGCUUAAACCCAGCAUGUCGUCAUAUGACCAUGCAAAGACGUCUUUGUACUCAAGUAACGCUUUGAUUAUCUCUUCCUUGAGUUGUGGUUCAAGAUGGAUACUUAUCUUAGUUUCUCUGAUAUAAUCGGGGUCCCCUAAAUUGAUUGUUUCUGUAUCACUCAGGUUAGGCUUGAGUUUUUCUUCAAAAUGGCUUAAUUCUUCCAAUCUCUUCAAAGGCCUCAUUCUCAUUAAAUUCCGAUUCAUUAUCACACUCUAUUUCUUGAAUUACUAUUUCAGAAUUAGAUUGGCUUUUAAGACUGGGCCGAAGAUUCCUCAUUCAUGUCCUGUCAUUGAAACCAGCAUAAAAAGAACUGUACAAGGAAGAAAACAAAAAUAAAACUAUCAGGAAUGAAGAAAAGGGAAAUUGCAUUUUAUUGAAAUUGAAAGAUAACAAGGAUUAUACAUCCAAACGGACGGAAUAUAGAAUCUGAAUUACAACCCUGGAAUAAUCAAGAUAAACAUGAAAGAAAAUCAAAGCAAACUACCAAAACUCCUUCCUGGUAGGGAGAGGAGUAGUUUCCCAAUUGUUAAUCUUUGCAGUGGGCCCAACAAAUUGCGCAUCCACCUUGCUAGAACCCUCUCCAACUUCCACCAUGUUCACAUCAUCGAAUAACUUCUCGAACCUUUCAAUCAACUCUUUAUCAGGACCAACCAUAAAACCGGGAACUGUUGUUACUAGGCGUUUCUUGGUGCCAGGUCUGACAAAUGAUCUGGAGAGACAUGGGAUAGGCUUUGGGAGGACCCAUGCCCUCUGUUUCAACUUUCUGGCUCUAUUCACAUCUGCAACUGUGGUCUUGAAUCCCAAACCAAAUGUAUCCAAGUUUUUGGGGAGGGACACCGGCUGUACGAUACCUUGCAGAGAUGCACCCAAACCCUUGCCAGGUACAAAACCAUUUUUCAACAUUUCAACGGCUACCAUGACUGAUGCAGCAGCAACCCUCAGAGCUGGAACGCACUUUCCUUCUGGAAUUUUCUCUAUCGAUACCGUGUCAAAAACCUGAUAAACCCAUGGUACCUUGUCAUCUUCAACCUUAAUGAACGGAACAAUGACAUAACUGGGAACACACAAAUUAUCUUCGCCGUGCACAACAAUUUCAUGUCUAUCCCAUUCAAACUUGACCAUUUGAUGCAGAGAAGACGGGACUGCUUUGGCAGCAUGAAUCCAGGGUCGACCUAAUAGUAGAUUGUACGAAAUAGCCACAUCUAGCACCUGGAACUCCAUGGUAAAUUCAACUGGUCCUAUUGUCACCGGUUGAAUCUUUCCCUCCAUCGUCGAACCCCUAAACACAAAUACUAUUCUUGUGAAUUCUUUCAUCAUCCACUUUCAAUUUGUUCAGAGUGAAGAGAGGGCAAAUGUUGGCGCUGGAACCAUUGUCGAUCAAUACUCGAGUAACCACAAAAUCUUCACACUUCACCGUAAGAUAGAGGGCUCUAUUUUGCUCAGUGCCCUCCAUGGGCAACUCAUCAUCAGAAAAAGUGACUCUGUUUACCUCAAAUAUCUUGUUAGCUGUCUUUUGUGGUUUACUAAGAUUUUCUCAGGAACGUGGGCCUCAUUCAGGAUUUUCAUCAAGGCCCGAUGGUGCUCGUCCGAAUGGAUUAACAAUGACAACAAUGAAAUCUGAGCAGGUGUCUUCCUCAACUGUUCCACAGUGGAAUAGUCUUGCACUUUCAUCUUUUUCAAAAAUUCUUCUGCCUCUUCUUCGGUCACAGCUUUCUUCACUAGCACUGGGUCUUUUGAGGUUUUAGCUUUUCUUAACUCCUCGGGGGCAAAGCAUCUCCCCGACUGAGUCAAUCCAUGGGUCUCAUAGACUUCUUCUUUGACUUCUUUUCCUUUGUAAGUCACUGUCACCUGUUCAUAAUUCCAAGGGACAGCCUUGCUAUCGACUAUUGGUAACUGGGUUACAGGCUUGAUACUAACAGGAUCUGUGCGGGCACCUUCCACAACUAUGAGAGGCUUGUUCGCCACCCCUGGCACCACCACUUUUCUUUUUCUUGUUUCACUGCGAUGCCGCUUGAAGACCCCUUCUUGCCUACUGCAGAUGGUUCACUGUCUAUCCCUUUAAACUUGAUCACUGACUUCUCACUUGUUUACUUUUCUAUCGGCCUGAAUUCACUGGACCGAAUCAUCAUGACAGUUUGUGAAGGCUUCUGGGGCUCCCCUCCCCUAUGCACUAUCUCAAUCAUAUUUGUCUCAUGAUGGGCCGGCAACAGAUUCUGGUUGAUAUUAGGCGCCUCCGGAGCUUGGACCUCAAUCCGAUUAGUAUCAAUGAGCUCUUGAAUAGCUGUUUUCAAUUGUCAACAUUUCUCUGUGUUGUGCCCCAGAGCACCAGAACAAUAUUCGCAACUCACAAAGUGAUCAAGAUUCCUUGGGGGAGGAUUUGGCAGUUUUGGCUUGAUCAGACUCAGCAUACCCAAUUGUCUCAACCUGUGGAACAAACUGAUAUAGGAUUCUCCCAAUGGAGUGAAGGUUUUCUUCUUCUACAACCUCUCGUACUUAAAUGCUUGGUUGGGCCGAAAACCUGAUCCAAUAGGGUUUCAGUAGGCUCUUGGGGGUGGACAGGCAUUUUGUGGAGAUGGAUAUGUAUUUUGUGGGACUGGCACAUGCCAUUGUGCGUAGGCUAGAGGUUGGUUGUAUGUUUAGGCAUGGUGGACAGAAAAAUGGGGGUCUGGUGGUGAGUAGUAGUGUUAGGGUGGAUUAUACGGGGUGUGGGGGUAGUUUUGGUGGUAGGGACGAGGCUGAUGAUAGUGGUGAGGUGAACCCCUCGGCCCGAACCAAGAUCCUGACUCAACUGUUGCGACAUCCUCUUUCUUCUUCUUUCCAAUUACUCCCCCAGUUCCACUUAGAAUGGCUUGGGUGGUUGCCUUGAUCGCCGAAUAACACAUGAUUUUGUUUGUCUUGAGCCCUUCUUCUAGCAUACCGCCCAUUUUUACCACUUCAUUGAAGGACUUGCCUAUAGCCGAUACCAGAUGUCCGUAAUAAGUAGGCUCUAAGGCCUGCAGAAAAUAAUCCACCAUUUCACUUUCUUUCAUUGGAGGGUCAACCCUCGUUGCUUGCUCUCUCCAACAAAAACCGUACUCUUUGAAACUUUCAUUGUGCUAUUUCUCAAGUUUCAUCAAAGACAGACGAUCCGAAAUAAUCUCGAGAUUGUACUGGAAGUGACAAGCAAAUGUCUGGGCUAGAUCAUCCCAUGUGUACCAUCUUCCGUGAUCCUGCCGAGUAUACCAUUCCAGUGCUGAAUCACUCAGACUCUGACUGAAAUACGCCAUUAUCAGCUUGUCUUUCCCGACAGCUCCCCUUAUUUUGCUACAAAAACCUCUCAAAUGCGCCACUGGAUCACCGUGCCCAUCAUACAAAUCAAACUUGGGCAUCUUAAACCCUACCGACAAUUGCACAUCUGGAAACACACAUAUGUCUUUGUAGGCCACACUUACUUGACCUCCCAACCCCCGCAUGUCUCUGAAUGACUGUUCCAAGCUUUUAACUUUCCUGAACAUCUCCUCCUGUUCGGGAUUUUUAGAUGGUUUUUCGGUUUCCAUGGAGAGAUCAAAACGAUGAGUGUAGGAAUAGGGUUCUGGAGCCUUGAAAGUGGGCUCCGGGGGGUAAUAAUGGUUAUCAUGGGUUUGGAACAAAGGCUUGCUAGAGGAUCUGUGGAGUGUAGUGGGUUGGGGUGCCACGAAGACAGGAGUGGCUGGUGGAGGAGGGUAUGGAACUGGUUUGGGUGGUGGAGCUGGUGGUGUUUGGGAAGUGGUACUCUAGUAGGGCUGGUAAAUAGGAAAGCUCGGGGACGAAUCGGUAGCAGGAGGUUCCUGAGAUUGAGCCAAUGGCGGGAUAAAGGCAGGGUUGGCGGGGUAAGCUGGCGGUUGUUGCCCUUUUGCCCAUGCCUGGUACAUUUCGGCCAUCUGCCGUUUCAGCUUAUACAUCUCUUCUUUAAUCAAAUUAACCUCCGACUCUUCUACCUCUCUCGAAGGAUCGAUAACACUCGCAUCAAGUUCUUGAUUAGCCAUGAUCGUCUUGUUUUUGGACCGGGUGUUGUAUGGGAGAGUUGCCAGAAUGCCACACAAACUAACCACCUAUCUGUUACUUGACGACAAUAACAAACUUGUUAGCGAUCAAGGUUUAACAGACAGGAAACCGCACAUUUGGGGAAUGGAUGCACCUAAGCAGACUAUUAUGCAUUUGAUCGAUUGCUUGCGUCAUCCCGACUUUCCCUUAUUUCCAUUUGCAACCUCUCUUUUUCUCUUCCUUUUUUUUCUUUUCAUUCUUGCCUUUCUUUGCUUGAUUUCCCUUUGUUUUUUAUUCUCUCAUUUCUUGUUUUGCCAUUGUUUCCUUCUCACGGUUUCUUAUUUUCUCUCUCUUUUUUUUCUUUUUCUCUCUUGUUUUUUUUCCUCUUUUUUUUCUUUCUCUCUUUUCCUUUCUCUUUUUUUUGGUUAUGAUCAAAUCCUAUGGAGAUUGCCUACGUAUCAUAAUCCCGCAUGAAUCAGAUCUUUGUGUAGUUCUAGAGGAUAAGUGUAAAAAUAAAUAAUAAAACAUUUUGAGUUUUUUUCAAAUUUUUCAUAAAAAGAAAAUGCUUUGAUUACAACGACUCAAGAACUAACCGACUCAAAAAGGAAACUAACAGACUCCAACAACAAGAUGAAAAUACAGACUCGAAAACAAACUAACAGACUCCAACAGAAAGAAAAUAUAGACUCGAGUAAAAAUCAUGAAUACAUCAAUGCCUCAAAUGCUCCUGGGGCCCGCGGGACAUUAUUCUGUCUCGCCACGGACCUACGCGCUAAAUCCCCUUGGAGGUGGUAGAGAUCUUCCAUUAUCUGGCAAACAAAGGUCAUCGGAGUGGCAAAGAACAUGGAUCUAGUCAUGUCCUCACACUUACUGCAUUUCAUUGUGAUGUAGUCAGCGAUCCUUCUGACCCUUUCUCUUAUGACGCUUUUUUCUUGCAACAAACGCCCAAUCUGUUGGGACCUAACUUCCAAAGUUUGUUCAGAUAUGUGAUUCUGUUCUUGAAUUUGUUGCAGAUCUCCUUCUAACUGUGCCAUUGCUGCGUAACAGUGUUCCCUUUCUGCCUUACAGUCUUUUGCCUGCUUGAUCAUUUUGUUCUUAAAGAUGGUGACCCUUUUCUUCAACCCCACAACCUCAUUGUCAUAUUUCUCUUUUAACUGUUUAACCAAGCGCUCUCGUUCCUCCGCAUUUUUAGCCAACUUUGUUUGAGCCCUUGCUAAUCCCCCCCCCCCCCCCUUGUUCAAAUCGAAAUCAUACUCACUCACCUUCUGCCUAAGGUUCUUUAUAAGCUUUUCAUCUCUUGCACUUCUGGCGGGAUUUUCAGCUGCUAUUUUCAUUCCCCGAAUCUGAGCUUGAAGGGACUCAUUUUCUUUGGCUAAUUUUUUCUUUUCACCCUCGGCCUCUUGCACCUGUAGAUAAUUGUUGAAGGUGACAUUUCUCAACUCUUCUCGCAAAGCAUGAAUGCUGGCUUGGUAUUUCUUUUCCUUUUCCCCCAAGCUAAUCUUUCCUGCAUUUUAUCAUCGAAAGGCUUGAACAUGAGGCCUUUUGGUGGGCCUCUUGGGUUCGGGCUCGGGCUCCGGCUCAUUGUUCACAUAAAAAGUUCUUUCAAACCAAGCAGCAUAAUUGGGAUCAACUUCGCCCUUAGACGGCUCUGGUACCUGGGUGUCAUUUUUUAGAUACCGAUAGCCAUUCCAGUUCCUUUGAACUAAAGUCUCGGGUAGCUUUGCUUCUGGGUGUAAUUCGAUGACUUGGGUGCUUAGAUCUGCUUCUUAGGGUAUCACCUGAUAUCUUCCUAGUUGUCUCAAAACUCUUUGUGGUGCAUAUGGUUGUAUAUUUCUCACUCUCAUCAUCAUCAAGUAGCCCUUUGAAGCGGUCAUGUAUAUGACUUCUGUUACUGGAAGCCAUCAUAUGGUCUAUUCAAUUUGAUUUGCUCUCAAUUUUCUCAAAUAGGAAACCCAAGCUUCAAACCCUUCUGGCGGUUUGUAGUCUUCCACCCUUUCCUCAUACUUUUUGAUGAGAUUGUUCCUGUCCGAAGCAUAUCUCAUGACCUUAGGAUGACGGUGAAGGUGUUCGAUCAUCCACAUUUGAAGAAGAACCUGACAACCUUCAAAAAUUGAGCCCCAGAUUUUCAUAAGGUUAAUGCUCGGUAAAUGUCUGCCAGCACUAAUGGGACAAGUGUGUGAUCUAUUUUGUCGAUGAGGACCUGUGCGAUUCUGGCCAUAUGAACGUCUAUAGUGCCCUCCGCAUUCGGAAAGACCAUGACCCCUAAAAAUGCCACGAUGAAAGCAAACCGACGAUGGAUUUGCCAUAUGCUCUUGUCUUGUCUAUUACUCAACCCCUUUUCAUGUGUUUCAAACCCGGCUGAGUGCCCAAACCUGUAAUACAUGAAGUAGAAAGAACAACGCCCUUUACUCACGUGGGCCUUGUUCAUUUAUUUGCUGAUAUUCAGAAGAUCGAAGAACUUGUGCACCGAGGGAGCCCUGAGGAAUAUGAGUUGCUGCUUUCUUAACUCUUGGCCAAAAUCAAUAUACCCGGAUAUUUAUUCUAAAGUGGGGGUGAGCUCAAAAUCUGAGAAACGGAACACAUUGUGGGCGGGAUCCCAAAAGGCUACCAAGGCUUCGAUUAAAUCCUCCCGGGGUUUGAUGUGCAUGAUGUCUAUCUGAGAGCCCAACUGUUCUUUCACCCAACCUUGGCCAUCUUCAUCUAAAUCAUCCCACCACCUGCGAAGCUGCAACCGAGCCCGUUCUAUGAUAGAUUGCAAUGAUUCCUGGACAAUAUUCAUUUGUACCAGCGGAGGGUUGAGGUUAGGGUUGACUCUUGUGGACUCUUUGCAAAAUAAGUUUUCUAAAGAAAAUCAACGGAAAAAGACCCCUUUCAUUGCUACUUUAGGAAAAAAUGAUCGUUUUUGCAAACAUGGCCCCUUCACAAUUCCAAACAAAUUUUGAGGCCAGGGGGUAAGUAUUUAGUUGAGAAAGACACCUUUUAAACAGACUUGCAUGUCCCUCCCAAAAAUAACCUUUUGACAAUUGAAAUAUAAUCUAAGGUUAUUCCUGUAAUAAAUGACUUAAAAUACAACCGAAGCUGGGUCGGCUUAUUAUUUUGACCAAAGCCCUGAAACACCCUUUAUUUAUUAUUUGUAAAAAUGAGGCCGAACCUUAUGUGGGUUGCCUACAUAUCCCACGUCCGGUGAGAAUCAUACCUGCGUAGUUCGGUUAGUGUUGACACAUUUGAAAAGGACACAGUGUUUGACUCUUUUGAAAUAACUCUCUUUCCUUUUUUUUUGAAAACUUUCGGCAGAGUUUUGGGAUGCUUUCGAAUACAGGGUUUUUUUAGAACCGGGCUUUAUUUCCUUCCCUAUAUCACUCUUGGUUUUUCUUCUGCUUUAUUUUCCUAGACAAUCAGCAUACAAGCCGAAAUAAAUAAAUGUUCACAUAGCACGUAGAAUGCAUCAGGAUGGUCUGUUUAUUUUGGGCACACAUGUCCUAGACGGAUUCAACCCCUGUGUUGAGCCCCCUAAGUCAAAUUCACGUGAUGAAAAUAAGCGUUCCUACUAGGGAUCCGACAUGAAGUUGUGUUUUUCUAGGUUUAAAUCCUGGGGUUUUUUUCUAGACUUGGGGGUACCCGAGCGGACAACUGGGGCCGAAGAGGGGGCGACGUACCAGGAUCACUGAAGUCUACCCGGCCUUGUCGCUUGCCCAGCCUUGUUCUAUUUGGUAUGAUUUCUACAAAAAAAGCGGGACAUGCGAAUGUGUGCACCAUUUUCAGAAGACUCAGAGGGGCGGUGUAAAAAGAUAGUUAUAUAUAAUUCAAACAAUAUCAAAGCGGUAAAUAGGCAGCAAUUAGCACAAAAAGUUCACAAAAUACAGUAAUAUCAACAAUAAACAAAUCCAAGCAAAAUCAUAUUAACAAGCUCGAAUUCUUGAACCCUGAACCAGAGAUUCUGGGUUCGAUCCCCAGCAGAGUCGCCAGAGCCGUCACACCUCCUUUUUACUACCCCCGAAAGGGGCAUAAUGGAGUUUUCCAAUUUACGUGACAAUCGAAACGAGAUUAUUUAUAUAAAAUUCAGAGUCGCCACUUGGGAUAAUUUGUGGUGUCCCAAGUCACCGGUUUAAAAUUCUGAAUCGAGGAAGAUUUGACUUUGUUCAUGUCUGUGAAACACAUAAAUCCGGGUAAGGAAUUCUGUUAACCCGGGAGAAGGUGUUAGGCACUCCCGAAUUCUGUGGUUCUAUCACGGUCACUUUGAUCAUAUUUGGCUUAUUAAAAUUAUUUAAUUACUGAUUUUAGAACCUAUGUGCAUUUACCUUUCACCUCUUUUUAAUUAAGAGUAUUAUUUUGAAAUGGGUCACGCGUACGUGUACCCAUUUGUUUGGCACGUCAAAAUCAUGUCACGUGAACGUGUCCACAAUUAAUAACUCUUUGGUAUUAAAAGAAAUUUGACCAAAGUUGCACGAACGCAUACUCCAGUUUUAUUUUUAGAAAUCGUAAUCAUGUCACGCGAACGUGUCCACAAUCACGAUAGUAUAUUAAACGGCCCUAAAGGCUUUUCUACGAAUAUGCAUUAAUUACUUAUUCUUAAACUAUUUGAAAUUAUUAAGGGAGGUGAUGUGAAUUAACGGAUAAUAAAUUCAUGUGAAAGAGGGUAGUAAAUUAGUCAUAAAAAAUGGCUAUCGAUUCUUCUUAGGUCGGGUUAAACUCUUCGACCCUAAUCCUUAACUCAAAAUUGUUUCAAAACUCAUUCACUUUUAAAUUCUUCAUUUAGUGUGUUGAAUCCAGCCCAAUUCUAAAGUAUAAGAACAAUUAAUUACGUAGGCAAUCUGAAGAACAUAUUACAAAGUUUGCUUUCGGAUACUUUGCCUAUUUACACUGCCUUUAAAAAAACGGAUAGAAAAAGAAAUCAGAUUUUUCUUUCAAUUUAAAUUACAGAUUCUUCAGUAGUAUGCCAACUCAUUAAAACACAUGAUUUGUAGAAAUAACCUUUAAAAGAUUUGUGAUGACUUUUGAAUACUUAAGUGCCUACUCAUAUAAAAGGAAAGAAAAGUACACAAAUUUUGUUUACCUUUAACAAAGUGCUUCAAGAAUUCAACAGAAGAUCAGAUUCAAAGAGAAAUAAUAAUAAUAAUAAUAAAAAUAAUAAUACUAAUAAUACUAAUAAUAAUAAUAAUAAUAAUAAUAAAUAAAUAAAUAAAAAGUUAACCAUAGAAUGCAUAUUAAACUUACUCAAAAGCUAAACAAUCUAACAUAAGAGAUUAAAUUAAAACCAAACAACCACAAUCAUGAAAGCUAACUGUCAAGAGGAAAAUAAACUACAACUAUCAUUAUUAAUCCAUAUUAAUGUUUUUAGGAUAAGAACAGAAGAAGAAAAUAAACCUGUUAAAGCAAAAUCCCUUUGAUAAGAACAAAACUAGUAGUCAGUUACAAAAUUUUGACCCCAAAAUUCGACCGAGAAAACAACAACAAUAAGCGACCAGGAAUCACGAACCCACAAACAGCAGCGAACGCAACAACCUUUCAAACGAGCUCCAUUUUUUCCCAGAAAUCCAAGACGAGAAGAAGAGAAUGAAAAUCUAUAUAUUUUUUGAGCUUUUAAACAAUAAUAAAAACCAUAUCAAAGAAGAACACUCAACAUUUUAUGUGCAUCUAUCUGAAUCUGAAAACAGAGAGAAGAAAAUCAAAAUAAACUCUUCAAGUCCUAGCAGUCCUUCCAGAUUUUUCCGGAAAAAAAAUCCCCCACCCCCUUCUGAAUAUAUCAUCUCCUUUAUAUAGGGCCUCAGGCUUCUCGAACCUUCUCCCUUUCUCCCCAAGAUAUCCCUCCAAAAAUAUCUCCCCCCAAAUCUGAAAUUUUACCCUCCCUAUGAUGAAAAACGGACAAAUGGAGGGAGUGGAUCAAAUCGAAUCCAAUCCAACGCUCCCCAUUUUUACAUGUGUUUAUCUGAAAGGUUAAAAAUCCGAAAUAAAUCAAGAAAAUGGCAUGUGGGGAGAGGAAUUUUGUCAGAAGCGGUUAGAAUCUUGAUGACGUGGUACAGAGGGACCUGUGUGAGUGAACUCGCCUGAGUUUUCAGGCGAGUUAGGGUUGAAUCAGUUUGGAGAAGAAGAACAAUAGACGGGCGCCGCAAAUGAGGAGUCUUGUGUUUUGGGGUUU